UACGUAGGGGGCAAGCGUUGUCCGGAAUCAUUGGGCGUAAAGAGCGUGUAGGCGGCCCGGUAAGUCCGCUGUGAAAGUCCAGGGCUCAACCCUGGGAUGCCGGUGGAUACUGCCGGGCUCGAGUCCGGAAGAGGAGAGUGGAAUUCCUGGUGUAGCGGUGAAAUGCGCAGAUAUCAGGAAGAACACCCGUGGCGAAGGCGGCUCUCUGGGACGGUACUGACGCUGAGACGCGAAAGCGUGGGGAGCGAACAGG
rnacentral:rRNA from 1 species